rnacentral:rRNA from 1 species
GAUGAACGCUAGCGGCAGGCCUAAUACAUGCAAGUCGAACGGUGUCUUCGGACAUAGUGGCGCACGGGUGCGUAACUCGUAUGCAACCUACCUUACAUUGGGGGAUAGCCUUUCGAAAGGGAGAUUAAUACCGCAUAAGACAGUAGCUGGGCAUCCAGCAGCUGUUAAAGAUUUAUCGAUGUAAGCUGGGCAUGCGUCCAAUUAGCUAGUUGGUGAGGUAACGGCUCACCAAGGCAAUGAUUGGUAGGGGAACUGAGAGGUCAAUCCCCCACACUGGCACUGAGAUACGGGCCAGACUCCUACGGGAGUCAGCAGUAGGGAAUAUUGGGCAAUGGACGCAAGUCUGACCCAGCCAUGCCGCGUGCAGGAUGAAGGCGUUAUGCGUUGUAAACUGCUUUUAUACAGGAAGAAACGACUCUUGCGAGAGGCAUUGACGGUACUGUAUGAAUAAGCACCGGCUAACUCCGUGCCAGCCGCCGCAGUAAUAC